CUGGAACAUGGACAGGGACGACGGGCUCUGGCCGGGCCCGAUGAAGUCGAACGAUCCCGUGCCGCGCAGGUGCAGCUCCCGCUGGUCCGGU
rnacentral:tRNA from 1 species